GGGGAUUUAGCUCAGUGGUAGAGCGCUUGCCUAGCAAGCGCAAGUCCCCA
rnacentral:tRNA from 1 species